GUUCAUCCAUAGGACUUUACAAAUAUGAGGAUUUAAAUAGGAUUUAGUAAGAGAAAUAAAAAUGCAUAAAGAGUGAAGAGAUAUAAGCAAAGGGUGUAUUAAAUUUUAAGUAAAAAAAGAUUGAAAAAAUUUGAAGUUGUUGGGCUAUGUUUGUCUGGCCCAUGAGCCCAUAUAUUAGGCUAUUUUAUAUUUAGGUUUUUCCUAAGGCCAAAUAUGGAUAUAAAAAUAGCAUUAGGGCUUUGGUAUUAAGAGAAAAGGGCAUUUGAUUGAGAAAAGGAAAGAAGAUCAGGAUUUGUUUUUUUGGGCACUGUUCUAAGGCUCAAGGGUGAAGUUACAAGUUCCUUUCAUCAACCUUUUUGGGGAAUUCCUAUGGUACGUUUUCUCCCUAAUUUCUUUCUGUUCAUGUUUCAUUCGGUGAUGGAUUCCUACCUUAAGUGAGGACUUAAUUAUUGUAUCCCUAUUUAUUGAAGUAGAAGAAAUUUUCUCAUUGGUUUUUUACCUCUAUUCAAAGGGUUUUUCCACGUUAUAUUUGGUAUCCUCUUUUGUGGUUGAAUGUUAUUGAUUGUCAUUCUUGACUCUUCUUAAGUUGUUAUUAUUCUUGAGAGGUGGUUAUUAUUGUUGAGUGGUUGUUAUUCUUGUGGAAGAAUCUUUUAACUUUGGUAGGUUAAUACUCUAGAUCUCUCCCUUUAUUUUCCCAACAAGUGGUAUCAGAGCUUGGUUGUGGAACUUUUAUUCUUGAAAGGGAUGGAGAUAAAAGGGAACUCAACCUUCAUGAUAAAACUUAACAAUUCAAAUUAGGCUAUGUGGAAGUCCAUGAUGGAUGAUUUUCUCAGCAAAGUUUGACAAAACACACGGAUGAAUGCCGAACAAAGAUGAUGAAAAUGGAAGUACUCCAACAACCAGCAAGCAUAUAUGAGCAUAUGCAUCAUUCAAGUUGUUCUAUUUUAUUUCUAUAUAUAUUACAAAGUGUAGAAGUCCACCAGGGCACAAACUGUGAUGAAUGGAGAAAAAGAAUACACGAAUGACAUACAACCGAUUUGUGUUAUUAUUAUUUUUUCUAUGAGAAGGAAAAUAUAUAAAAUAAAAGAACAAAAACAACAAAUGAAAGGCCUACAUAUUUAGUUUAUUCCUUGUGGUCCCUUUAAAGUCCUAAAAUACGUAGUUAUGUGCUCAGGACUCGUAAGAUUUUCUCAUGUUGAGUGAUGACUAUGCAUGGUGGAGGCUAGAGCUUCAUUUAUGUUCAGUAGCCAUGACAACAGGAGUGCUGGCAUGCGAACUGGCUCUAUGGGGAGGAAUGGCAUGACCCGCAAACUUCAUUCCAUUGGGACAAGGUGAGCCUUUUUCGGGGAUAUGGCCGCAUGAACUUGGUCCUGAAGGAGGGACAGGUCCUGAAAGCAUAGAUUUCAAAGGAACAAUCCUUAUCUUCAUCCACUCUUCUUUCUCUCCAUCAAGAACCCUACUAGCACUGUGGGGUUGGAUACUCAGAAUAAAAACAACUGCUGUGACAGCUAAAACAAUUUUGAAAAAUCUCAUGAUGAUCUUGGAUGGGUUAAGCAAACAGGAGAUGAUCAGAUAGAGCAAUAUUUUUAUGUGAGCAAUAUGAAGAUAUAUGGAGGAGAACGAUCACCGGUUAUUUAUAUGAAUACUGCCAUUGGCAUGACUAGAGUUUUUGGUAGUUUGGCUUAGUUGAAGGGUUUUUUUUACUCUUGACUAAUAGAAUUUUACUGUAGGAG
rnacentral:lncRNA from 1 species